UCAAAAUGGGCCAGACAUGCCUCUAAGGGGUCAUCUGCUAAGAUAUAGGAAAGGGCUUCCUCUACAAGAUCAUCCAUUUCGUCAAUUAGGCAACACUCGUCUUCCCUCACAUGUUGGUCAGCGGCAUGAAAAACAUUCAAUUUAAUUUUCAUGUUCCCAAAUGAUAUAUCCAUUGCCCCAGUUCUACAGUUGAUGCAUGCAUUGGCUGUUGCUAAAAAGGGACGACCAAGAAUCACAGGGAUUUGUUUUUUUAGGUUGGGCACAUGUUCCAUGUCAAGGACGAUAAAAUCUACUGGAAAAUAGAACUUGUCUACCUUGACAAGAACAUCUUCAAUCAUCUCCCGUGGUAUCUUCACAGAUCGAUCAGCCAAUUGUAAGGACACCGAGGUAGGUUUUAAUUCACCUAACCCAAAUUUCUCAUAGACUGAAUAGGGUAGAAGAUUCACACUUGCCCCUAGAUCUAAGAGCGCUCGGUCAAUGGAGUUAUCUCCUAUGACACAGGAAAUAGUGGGAGCGCCAGGAUCUUUGAAUUUUGGAGGGGUGUUAUAUUGGAGAAUGGAACUUACCUGUUCAGUAAGUAAGACCUUUUUAGGCACAUGUGUCCUAGAUUUUUGCUUUUG
rnacentral:lncRNA from 1 species